GAUGAAGAACGUAGCGAAAUGCGAUACUUGGUGUGAAUUGCAGAAUCCCGUGAACCAUCGAGUCUUUGAACGCAAGUUGCGCCCGAAGCCAUUAGGCCGAGGGCACGCCUGCCUGGGCGUCACACGUCGUUGCCCCCCCAUCUACUCCUUCGGGAUUGCGGGGGGCGGAUGAUGGCCUCCCGUGCGCCUCGCCGCGCGGUUGGCAUAAAUGCCAAGUCCUCGGCGACGCACGCCACGACAAUCGGUGGUUGCGAAACCUCGGUUGCCCGUCGUGUGCGGUCGUCGCGCAUCGAGGGCUCGAAAAAAUUGCCGGGUUCCGGCUCGGCUUUCAACGCGACCCCAGGUCAGGCGGGGUUACCCGCUGAAUUUAAGCAUAUCAAUAAGCGGA
rnacentral:misc_RNA from 1 species